CCUUCAAUAGCUCAGUUGGUAGAGCGGAGGACUGUAGAUCCUUAGGUUUCUGGUUCAAUUCCAGCUUGAAAGA
rnacentral:tRNA from 1 species